CCUUUGCUCAUGAAUAUGAAAAUCACGUGAUGGUAGCUGGAGGCGCGAGAUUGCAAAAUGGCCGUGUAGCAACUAAUCAGAUUGAUUGGCAGGAAAUCCCUCAAGAUGCGCCGGUCUUUUGUGAUGCGGAAUUCUGGAAUGUUCCAAGGAGUGCCUGUAUAAGAACGAGAAAGACCGUUAAUUGGUCUUCUUCACACCACAUCGCUGCUUGGAACAAGUACACGGACGCCUUAUGCCCUUCAUCUUUGAACAUUUGUGGAACAUUCAUUCACUUGGACUAUUCGCUGGAAAGAACAUUGGCCUGUUUGGGAACAUUCAUUCAAUGUUGGUGACUAUUCGCCUUUUGGCCUUUGAACUUCUAUGUAGUGUUAGUUGUUUUAUCGUGUCUGUGUUGUAUUGUGGUGUGUGUGAUUAAAUUGUCUUAAACGCAAUACAACUGCCUUGUGUCACGAGCAAGGCCGGACCAAGCCCCUCUUGGCCGUGGUCCGGCCACCGCUCUGAGCGGUUUCAUCUAUGACACUGUCGCCAGUCACAGCUGCUUCACAUGUGACACUGUGAUUAGACUAUGUAUUUAAGCAUUCAGGAUUACUCUGCCACUGCAUUAUUAUAGCCCAGUCACGCUUUGGUUAUGCUCUUUAGUUGACUCAUAGUUAUUGGACAUUGUUUCUUGUGUUUUGGAUACUGCCUUCUUGGACUGUGUUGUCGUGCGCAAGUGUCGUUUAUAAUAAAACCCACUAAACAUCAUGUCCUUGUCUUGGAGUCCUACAUUUGGUUCCGCUCAUGCACCGUUGGUCCGUGACACCUUGUCACAUUUUGCUCGUUUGAGCAAAGGGGAUGUUGCCCACGAUAAACAUCUCAUUAUAUGAGCACCUUUCCCUGCACCCAUAGGGCCCGGCUGCCCCAUUUGACCCCAUUCUCGAAGAAAAGCUCACAGGUCACAUCACAUACACAUUAAGGUAUCGGGGGAUGCUUUGUUUGUUUGUGUGAGGGGCAUCCUCUCACUUUUCUUCCAAGGGUCACACUCGGUUGACACUGCUGCUGGAUGUCAUUGCGCUUAUGUGGGUUUAGUCUUCCAGGUCAAAUUAUCCCUCAAUUUGAAAUGAAAAUGGAAUCAGUAGAGGCAAGGAUCAGCUCAGGCCCAAGCUCUCUCCUCUGUAUUAAGCCAUCGCAGUGUUGUAAGGCGAACUCAUAUAAUGAACCCUAUCACCACCAUCGCCGCGCCAAUAUCCCCACACCGUAUCAUGCAUA